rfam:Brassica napus, WGS project CCCW01000000 data, contig: 1678
GGAAUAUAAGAACUCGUCUCUUAACUUUUAACUAAAAAAACUAAGAACCGGUUCUUAAAUAAGAGUUUUAAGAACCGGUUUUUAACUUUUUUAGUUAACAGUUAAGAGACGGGUUUUUAUAUUCC